rnacentral:rRNA from 1 species
AUUGAACGCUGGCGGCAGGCCUAACACAUGCAAGUCGAGCGGAGCGGCGGACGGGUGAGUAAUGCCUAGGAAUCUGCCUGGUCGUGGGGGAUAACGUCCGGCAACGGGCGCUAAUACCGCAUACUAUCAGAUGAGCCUAGGUCGGAUUAGCUAGUUGGUGGGGUAAAGGCCUACCAAGGCGACGAUCCGUAACUGGUCUGGGAGGAUGAUCAGUCAAAAUGGAACUGGGGACCGGUCCAGACUCCUACGGGAGGCAGCAGUGGGGAAGAUGGGACAAUGGGCGAAAGCCUGGUUCAGCCAUGCCGCGUGUGUGAAGAAGGUCUUUGGAUUGUAAAGCACUUUUAGUUGGGAGGCGUUAACAACAGAAUAAGCACCGGCCAAAUUCGGGCCAGCAGCCGCGGUAAUUAC